rnacentral:rRNA from 1 species
ACGCACGCUGGCGGCGUGCUUAACACCUGCCAGUCGCACGGAAAGGCCCUGCUUUUGUGGGGUGCUCGCGCGGCGAACGGGUGAGUAACACGUGAGUAACCUGCCCUUGACUUUGGGAUAACUUCAGGAAACUGAGGCUAAUACCGGAUAGGAGCUCCUGCUGCAUGGUGGGGGUUGGAAAGUUUCGGCGGUUGGGGAUGGACUCGCGGCUUAUCAGCUUGUUGGUGGGGUAGUGGCUUACCAAGGCUUUGACGGGUAGCCGGCCUGAGAGGGUGACCGGCCACAUUGGGACUGAGAUACGGCCCAGACUCCUACGGGAGGCAGCAGUGGGGAAUAUUGCACAAUGGGCGGAAGCCUGAUGCAGCAACGCCGCGUGCGGGAUGACGGCCUUCGGGUUGUAAACCGCUUUCGCCUGUGACGAAGCGUGAGUGACGGUAAUGGGUAAAGAAGCACCGGCUAACUACGUG